GAUGAAGAACGUAGUGAAAUGCGAUACGUAAUGUGAAUUGCAAAUUCAGUGAAUCAUCGAGUCUUUGAACGCACAUUGCGCCCCCUGGUAUUCCGGGGGGCAUGCCUGUCCGAGCGUCAUUGCUGCCCUCAGGCACGGCUUGUGUGUUGGGCCCCGUCCUCCGAUCCCGGGGGACGGGCCCGAAAGGCAGCGGCGGCACCGCGUCCGGUCCUCGAGCGUAUGGGGCUUUGUCACCCGCUCUGUAGGCCCGGCCGGCGCUUGCCGAUCAACCCAAAUUUUUAUCCAGGUUGACCUCGGAUCAGGUAGGGAUACCCGCUGAACUUAAGCAUAUCAUAAGCGGAGGA
rnacentral:misc_RNA from 1 species